rnacentral:rRNA from 1 species
GAUGAACGCUGGCGGCGUGCCUAAUACAUGCAAGUCGAGCGAACAGACGAUGAGCUUGCUCCUCUGCCGGUAGCGGCGGACGGGUGAGUAACACGUGGAUAACCUACCUAUAAGACGGGGAUAACUACGGGAAAAAGGAGACACUAACGCAUAAUAUAUUGAACCGCUUAGUUCAAUGGAGAAACGCGGUUUGGCUGAUAGUAUGAGAUGGAGCCGGGCCGCAUUAGCUAGUUGGUAAGGUAACGGCUUACCAAGGCGACGAUGCGUAGCCGAUCUGAGAGGAUGAUCGGCCACACUGGAGCUGAGACACGGUCCAGACUCCUACGGGAGGCAGCAGUAGGGAAUCUUCCACAAUGGGCGCAAGCCUGACCCAGCCACGCCGCGUGAGUGAUGAAGGUCUUCGGAUCGUAAAACUCUGUUAUUAGGGAAGAACAAAUGUGUAUGUAACUAUGCACGUUUUGACGGUACCUAAUCAGAAAGCCCCGGCUAACUUCGUG